rnacentral:lncRNA from 1 species
GUCAAUAUUUCGGACGCUCCCUUAGGAAAUAUAGCAAAUUUGAAUGAGUUUUAAUUGACAAGUUACUAUAUUGUAGUCCUAUAAAAAGGAAGUCAGGAUUUCUUGAACCUGACACAGUCCAAUAAAUUAUAAAUUUCCAUUCCCCCAAAAUUGAAUUUUCAUCCAAUCAUUUCCCGUUUCAGUUCCAACUUCAUUGUGUUGACUCCUCUAUAGCUAACUAAUUUUCCUAAAUUUCCAUUCUACACCAUAUUGAAAGGGACGUCAACAAGGGUUAUCGAAAUCAAGAAAUACAUAUUUUCAAUCUUUUUUUUUUUUUUUGUUAAUUUUGAGGUUAGCCUUCUUUUAAGUAUUUAUCGUAUUUUAGACAUUAUAAUUG